rnacentral:lncRNA from 1 species
AUCGAUCACAUCGUCGGUACACGUCUACUGAGAGGGGACAAACACCGGCAACAGAGAAAGAACACAAUCAAUGCAAUGCAACAAUAUGAUGCAUGAAUGUGACAUGGCAAUAUGAUGUGGUUUGAGCUAAUGCAACUAGCAGCAAUUAAAUGGAGUUGGUUUGAAUCCAAGAUUCAAAUUCAAACUCCAUAUGUGAGGGUUUAAAUGCCAUUAUAUGAUUUGUGCUAAACAGCAGCUAUAAGUUGUUCUAACAUGCAUGAAAAUGGUACAGAUGGAUAGAUUGGAUUUUUCUGAUCAUUUUUCAUAUAUAAUUUGUUUCAUUUGGAGUUACGAUUGAUUUUAUAUGAUUUUUAGAAGUUUAUACUAUUUUCUGAAAUUUCCUGGAUUAUCUUUAUUCCAGAAAAAGAUUAAUUGCGUCAGCAUGACGUAGGCGUGACGUCAGCAGGUCAAAGGCACCAGCCCAGGUCAAACCUGGCGGCUGGGACCCACAUGUCAGUGUCUAACUAAUUAACCUGAGUUAAUUAGCUCUAAACUAAUACUAAACUAAACCAGUUAAGGCCCUGGUCCCACAUGUCAGUAUUAACAGGGCUAAUUAUGUUUAGUUAGCACUUAACCUAAUUAGCAGAGGCACGGGCCCACCUGUCAGUGACCCUGGGAAAGUCAAACAGGGUCAAAUCCCGGGUUAGUGGGGUCAAACCCCUGGUCAGCAGGGUCAAUCCCGCCGGCGACUCGACGCCGGCGAGGCCCGAGACGGUGGCGGUCGUCGGAAACGCGCUACGGGGCACGGGCGAGGCCGUUCUUGGGCUUGUUGGAGAGCUCUAGCAGGCGCGCAUCUAGUGGUGGUGGAGGCCGAGUCUAUCGUGGCCGGAGCCAACGACGGCGAGCUCCAAGGCGGCGGCCGGAGUUCGGCCAUGUGCGGGGUUGGGGCUGCGGCGUGCAAACGCAGAAGCUGAGGCGCUAGCGAGGCACUACGCGAUGCGGCGGGCAUGUUGGUUAGCACGGGAUGACCAAAUGGUCACCGGAGCUGCGUUGACGGCGAGCUCGGCCGGCGGCGUGCUGCGAGCAGCAAGGGGGCGACGACUACGGCGAGCAAGAGGCAGCGGGGUUAGGGGGAUUAGAUGCAGGUGCUCACAGCGAGGUCGUAGGUGAUCUCAGAGGGCUCGGGGACGGCCUGGUGAUGACGAGUCGGUCGAUGGCGGCCGCCGGAGCAGAGGACGAAGAUGGCGUCGACGACGGUGCUCCAGGGCGUCCGGCGUCAUGUGGCUCGGCGGAGAGGACGGGGGCGUCACGGCGGAGGCCAUGGACACGCCGACGAGGCGAGGGAGGGCCUGUGGCCGUGGCGACAGUGGCGCUCGGGUGUGUCCGGGAGAGAGCCAGGGAAGGGAAGAGGGUGCAGCGAGUGAGGGAGAGGAGCGAGGGGACACGGGCGUCUUCGUGGAAUCGCUAGAAGGGCCGAGAGCCUCUCGGUGGGAAGCAGGAGGUGGCCACGGCGGCGUGCGCGGCCGACAGGCAGCUGCCUGCCUGCUCUGGAGGGAGGUGGCCGAUGACUGGCACUUGCCAGGUGGGCUGGGCCGGCACAGUGCCAGGCCAGGUGGGCUGCAGGGUGAGUGCCAGGUACUUCUCUCUCUAUCUCUCUUUUCCUGUUUUCUUUUUCUAUUAUUCUGUAGCUUCUGGGCUUUAUUAAAAAUGUCAGGGCUUUUCCAAAAAUCAUGAAACUAAUCAUGACUACUGUUUGGAAUAUAUCCAACAGUAAACAUUUUAGUUUAUGAAUAUUUGAGCAUUUAAAAUAUUUAAUAGCAUUUAAAUGCCCAAAUGCAAAUACUUUAUGAUUUAAUCCAGAGCCCAAAUAUGUCAUGGAAAAAUGUGCAACACCCCUGGUUAUGUUUCCAGCAUUUUCCAGAAAUGAUGAACAUUUUUAAAAGCCAUUUGGACUUACUGAAAAUAUUUUUAGGUGAACCUAGUGAAUUCCUUAAAGCUCACAUAAAGGGCUAGCCUAGUGCAUGCCAGGACUAGGGAUGUGACAAGUUCCUCUUAAACCUUGUCCGUUCUCUCGAAGAUUCGUGGUUCUAGCUUCAUGUUAUCCUCUCGAUUUAUUCCAUUUGUCAGAUAUUCCUUUUCUCAACCAUCCGGAGUAUUUCAGGAGUUAAAUUCCCGUUUCUUUCACCGGAGGCCAUCUUUUCAGUUACCAUUAUCUAAUUAUCCCGGUGCUUUGUUCAAGUGUUGUUUAAUCAGCUCAUGAUCUUUUGUUCUUUUGCAUCUAAAUCCCCUCGAGCAUAUUGGUUCUUCUAAUUCUUCCCGGUGAUUCAUUCUCUUUCAUUAGUCAUUUUUGAGUUCUAACGGUGGUUCAUUCAGAAUCUUUUUCUUUGAUUAUCAUUCUAAUCCAUUCGCUCUUUCCAAUCCUACCGGUGGUUCAGGAAGACUUCCUCAAGUUUUGUGCUAUCCCUUCUCAAUCCUUUUUAAGAAGAAUAAGUGGUAUGCAAAAUCCAUUGUUGGUCAUCAAUUUAAUUUGAUGAAGGAUAAGUAUACAAUAAAUCUUAUUCUUAUUUCUUCCAAGUGAUUAAUACCUUCCUUCAGAGUUUGUUCUUGAUGAAUAAAUUCUAGUUCCAAGUGUUUUCAUCUUUUCUUUUCCGGAGUUCAAAUUUCCUCGGUCAUUUCGUCGGAACCUCCAUCUAAAUCAUCUCAAGGCUUUAAUCUUAUCCUUUUCAUCUUUCAUUCUAUCUCAUCAUCUUUUGUCAACGGAGUUCUUCAUGGUGGUUCUUCAUGAUUUAAUUCAUUCUUCAAGUGCUCAUCAAGAUUUUGUUGGUGGCGUUCAAGUAUCUUUUCUUCUCGCAUCUCAAAGUGCAAUUAAAUUCUCCGUAUUCUUUUGAAGUGGAGUUUUGCAUUUCUUCGUUCUUCUCAGCAAUUCAAUCUUUUCCGUUUGUGGUCGGUUAUCACCUCAUAAUUUUGAGAUGUUAUCCAUAAGUCCACAUCAAGCUUAUUCUUUUGUUGUUGAAUUUUCUCAACAACUCCAUUCAAUCUUUUCUUCUAAGUUUGCUUUCUAUUUCAUUCGUGGCACAAGUUGUCAUUUUCUUCCCCGUUCUUUUCAUUCAACUCUUUUAAUUCUUUCCGGAGGUUUUCUGUCAUGUCUUCUUCAGGUAUAGCUCCUGUUCUAUUCCUUCGAUUUUCAGUCGGAGUGUUGCCUAAAUCCUUUCAGUCUUAUUCGUUUCUUAUCUUGUUCUAACCGGAGUGGUUUCAUAGUCUAUCUGAUUCCGUGAGCUUUCGAUUAUCGUCAUUCUCGUCAUUCCUCUCUUAUUCUCGAGUGCUCUCGACUCUUUGCUUCUUCUCUUCAGUUCUUGCUUCACCUCAUCCCUUUUCCCUUCCGUCUCGGUCCUAAGAUCUCGGGACGAGAUCUCUUGUUAGUGGAGGAGUGUUGUAACACCCCGGAUCCGAUUCGCCAGGUGUCUGCCAGUUAUUCGCUGCAAUUGCCAUGUCAUUUGCUUGCGUGUUGCAUUUUACCAUGUAAUCAUGUGCAUUUCAUUUUGCAUACGUGUUCGUCUCAUGCAUCCGAGCAUUUUCCCGGUUGUCCGUUUUGCAAUCCGGCGCUCCUAUGUCCUCCGGCGUCCCCCUUUUGUCUCUCGUUGUGAGCGGGUGUUAAACUUUCUCAGAAUGGACCGAGGCUUGUCAAGUGGCCUUGGUAUAGCACCGGUAGACCGCCUGUCAAGUUUCGUGCCAUUUGGAGGUUGUUUGGUACUCCAACGGUUAACCGGGUAACCGUAAAGCCCCUCUCUCUUUGCAGCCCAACACCCCUUCCAAAGUGCCCCGUGUCCGCGCCGCCGCCCGCAGCCAAUCCCACCUCGCCACCUGUCCGCCCGCGCCGUCCCUGCCGCCGCGGCCCGCGGAGCCCANNNNNNNNNNNNNNNNNNNNNNNNNNNNNNNNNNNNNNNNNNNNNNNNNNNNNNNNNNNNNNNNNNNNNNNNNNNNNNNNNNNNNNNNNNNNNNNNNNNNNNNNNNNNNNNNNNNNNNNNNNNNNNNNNNNNNNNNNNNNNNNNNNNNNNNNNNNNNNNNNNNNNNNNNNNNNNNNNNNNNNNNNNNNNNNNNNNNNNNNNNNNNNNNNNNNNNNNNNNNNNNNNNNNNNNNNNNNNNNNNNNNNNNNNNNNNNNNNNNNNNNNNNNNNNNNNNNNNNNNNNNNNNNNNNNNNNNNNNNNNNNNNNNNNNNNNNNNNNNNNNNNNNNNNNNNNNNNNNNNNNNNNNNNNNNNNUUCCCGGCUCCCCGCCGGAGCCGCCUGCUCCUCUCGACCGCGCCGCCCGGUGGCCACGCCGUCAUCGCCGCCCAGCUGGACCUCCGCGCCGCCGCCAGGCCCCGCCUCUGGCCAGAUCCGGGCAGGAGCGCCCGGAUCCGUCCAUCUCCCUCGCCGCCGGCCCGCUCGUCCCCGGAGCCGGCAACAGCCGCCGCCGCCGCCAUGGUUCUUCUCGGGGUCGGGCACCCCGCUCGUCCCCGUCGCGCCCCGCAUGGGCCGCCUCUGCCAACCGGCCUGCCAGGCCUCUCCCUUCACUCUGGGCCGAAGCCCACGUGGUGAGCGCCCGCUAUACCCCGCUCAAUGCAACGUUUAGCUAUGCGACGCCCAUCUGUUUUUUUUCAAAAACUGCUAAGUCCCUGUUUUUUGCAAUAAUCAUGCCAUGUUUGACCUGUUGUAUCUCUGCAUCCGUAGCUCCGCUUUGGGCGUGUAAUAUGUCAAAUUGUUCGCCUCGACGAGUACAUCAUUUCAAUCCAUUGCGUCAUAUUCAUUUGAGCUCAUCUUGAUGCCUGAAUCAUUGUUGUAAUAGUGUUUCAUAAUGUUUUCUGAUGUCUGUUAUCAGAACGAGCUCUUUUGUCAUUUUUGCCAUGAUUGAUGUGCGCAUCCUAUUAGGUUGAUGUCUACGUGUGAUUUGAUCUAUGCUAUGUCUUCUUUACAGAGGUGCUUACCAUGUAUUUGUGUGAUUAAUAUGGUGACUAGCACAAGCAUGCAAACUAGGCAUCGUGAUGUUGCUGAUUUUAGUCCUUGUUCUGCUGUUAUUUUGAUGCCAUGUAAACUUGAUGCUACAGAGAGAUCCAUACAUAUUUUGAGAUACUUCAGUAAGGGUGUUUUGAACAUGUGGUUAUUGUCUAUCCAUUCAUGCCCUUUGUUGCAAUUAUGGAGUAGUCUAGCAUGUCAUUUGAGUGCUCUACUUUUGCUUCAAAAUGUUUCCUGGCAGAUUGUUUACAUGUUAUUCAAUUUGGCCAAGGUUGCUAUAGUUGAUCCUUGCAUGCUAUGGACUUGUUCUUGCCUUGGUUGGUUACAAAAACAUGUCUUCUUGAUGAUGCUAUGCUUAUCUUGUCAUGCAAUGACUUGUGGUGAGUGAAUCGAGCUUGUUAAGUAGUGUACAUGAUGUUGCUGUUUUGCUAGGCUGAAUCUGUUAUUUCGUGAUGCUAUAUAAACAUGUUGCUACUAAUCAUUCUAUGCAUAAUAUGGAGAUGCCCAAUAAAUAUGUUUUGUUCUACAUGUCAUGCUCUUUCCAUCCAUGCCCCUGGUUGCAUUUAUAGGUUGUUGUAGCUUGUUCAUAUCUUUCUCCAAAGUUGCUUCAUAAUGUUGUUGUCAGUCUGUUAACAUUAAGUUCACUUGUUCCCAUGUGUUUUGCUAGUGUUUCAUGCAUCCUAUGAACUUGCUAUUGCCAUGCUUAGCUUCACAAACAUGUAUUCUUACUGUUGGGUGCCUUGAUAUGCCAUGUAUUGCUCUGUAGUGAGUGGUACAAGCUCAUCUACAUGCCUUCAUAAUUCUGUUCCUGUCAUGUUUGAAUCUGUAUUAUGACUUGCUAUGUUUAUGUGGGUGCUAUCAUAUUUUCUGAUCUUUUUUGACUUAUGGUCAGUAAAGGACUUUUGAUCUAUGCAUUUAGUAGUAUCAUGCCAUGCCUUUGUUUGCCAUUAUAAAUUCUUGUAACAUGUUGUUUGAUAGCUCUAAACAUUGCAUCGUGAUGUUAUUUUCUGCAAAGUCUGAAAUUGUUAUAACUUGCAAUCUUACCAUGUGUGUUUGAGCAUGUUCUAGUGAUUUCUGGAGAUAGCUCAGUGUUCAUGUUUUGUAAUGCUUUACCUGUACAUCAUUUACAUGCCUUUUAUUCUCAUGUUGGGGUGCUGUAGUAUAUUGUUUUGAUGCUUGCAAUAUGCCUAGUUGCUGUUUUGAACAGCUUGUCCUUUAAACUUGUAUAGAGUGUGUGUGUGUUGCACCGUUGCUCCGUUUUGAGUGUGCUCUAUAUGAAACUUGCUUAGAAUUGCAUGUAGUUUCAUAUUAUCAUGUUGCAUCCUUGUUUUGAGGCGCUUGCUUGAUGUUUGUAUGCAUUUUGCAUCAAUGCCAUGUUUAGCUUGUUUUGCUCAUAUCUUCUAGGUCGUAGCUCCGAACUAGAUGAACUUUAUAUGUAACUUGAUUAGAAUCUCGUGUAGAUCAUCCUUGUGCAUCUUAACUUGAUGUUUAACAACUUGAACAUAAGGUUUAUUCAGAUCUGGACCAAUUUCGAAAUUUGCAUAUGAGGACUUACCGGAAUUGUUAUAUGUUGUUCCGGCCUCAUUUAAACUUGCCUUGAUGUGUUGCUCUUGUUUGCCUCAUCUCUUGCCAUGAGUAGCUUCGUGUAGCUUUGUCAUGCAUCAUGCUUGUUGUGCAUCAUGUCUUGUUCAUGUGUGGUGUGUUUACUAUGUUGUGUGCUUCUUCUCGAUAGUUCUCGUUUCGUUGCGAUCGUGAGGAUUCGUUCGUCUACGCUUGGUUCGGCUUCAUCCGUUCGUCUUCUUCAUGUACUCGUUCUUCUUCCUAGCGGGAUUUCAGGCAAGAUGACCGCUACCCUGGAUCUCACUACUAUCAUUGCUAUGCUAGUUUCUUCGUUCUAUCGCUUUGCUGCGCUACCUAUCACCUAUUUUUUGCUUAUCAAGCCUCCCAUACUGCCAUGAACCUCUAACCUUUGACACCUUUCCUAUGCAAACCGUUGUUUGGCUAUUUUACCGCUUUUGCUCAGCCCCUCUUAUAGCGUUGCUAGUUGCAGGUGAAGUUGAAGAUUUCUCCAUGGUGGACAGGAUUUUGGUUGGGAUAUCACAAUAUCUCUUAUAUUAUUAAUGCAUCUAUAUACUUGGUAAAGGGUGGAAGACUCGGCCUUUUGCCUAGUGUUUUGUUCCACUCUUGCCGCCCUAGUUUCCGUCAUACCGGUGUUAUGUUCCCAGAUUUUGCGUUCCUUACGCGGUCGGGUGAUUUAUGGGACCCCCUUGACAGUUCGCUUUGAAUAAAACUCCUCCAGCAAGGCCCAACCUUGGUUUUACCAUUUGCCUCACCACCACCUACCUUUCCCUUGGGUCGGCCAACCCAAGGGUCAUCUGUAUUUUAGCCCCCCCGGGCCAGUGCUUGUCUAAGUGUUGGUCCGAACUGAGCUGCCUGCGGGGCCACCUCGGGGCAACUUGAGGGUUGGUUUUACUCGUAGCUAGUCUCAUCCGGUGUUACCCUGAGAACGAGAUAUGUGCAGCUCCUAUCGGGAUUUGUCGGUGCAUCGGGCAGCUUUGCUGGUCUUGUUUUACCAUUGUCGAAAUGUCUUGUAAACCGGGAUUCCGAGUCUGAUCGGGUCUUCCUGAGAGAAGGUCUAUUCCUUCGUUGAUCGCGAGAGCUUGUCAUGGGCUAAGUUGGGACACCCCUGCAGGGUAUAAUCUUUCGAAAGCCGUGCCUGCGGUUAUAGGCAGAUGGGAAUUUGUUAAUGUCCGGUUGUAGAUAACUUGACACCAGAUCCGAAUUAAAACGCAUCAACCGUGUGUGUAGCCGAGAUGGUCUCUUUUCGGCGGAGUCCAGGAAGUGAACACGGUUUCUGGGUUAUGUUUGACGUAAGUAGGAGUUCAGGAUCACUUCUUGAUCAUUGCUAGUUGACGACCGUUCCGCUUGUUUUCUCUUCUCGCUCUUAUUUGCGUAUGUUAGCCACCAUAUAUGCUUAGUCGCUGCUGCAGCCUCACCACUUUACCCCUUCCUUUCCCCUUAAGCUUUGCUAGUCUUGAUACCCAUGGUAAUGGGAUUGCUGAGUCCUCGUGGCUCACAGAUUACUACAAUAACAGUUGAAGGUACAGGUUAUGCGAUGAUCAUGACACGAGAGCGAUGCUUGCUUGCGUUGAGUUCUUCUUCUGCUUCUUCGAUCAGGGGAUAGGUUCCAGGUCGGCAGCCUGGGCUAGCAGGGUGGAUAUCGUUUGAGUUUCUGUUUAUGUUUCAUCCGUAGUCGGAUGUUGCUCUUAUGUAUUGUGAUGUUGUAUUCGUGUGGCAUUGUAUGCCUUAUGUAUGCAUCCCCAUCUAUUAUGUAAUGUUGAUGUAAUGAUAUCCACCUUGCAAAAGCAUUUCAAUAUGCGGGUCUAUCCUUGGUGGGACCUUCGAGUUCCUUUUGGAUAGGGUCGCAUAUUGGGCGUGACACAGACCUUGGAAUUGAAAGGGUUUAGGCUUAGUAGAACUAAAACCGAGUACAUGAUGUGCGGUUUCAGUACUACUAGGUGUGAGGAGGAGGAGGUUAGCCUUGAUGGCCGGGUGAUACCCCACAAGGACACCUUUCGGUAUUUGGGGUCAAUGCUGCAGGAGGAUGGGGGGUAUUGAUGAAGAUUUGAACCAUCGAAUCAAAGCCGGAUGGAUGAAGUGGCGCCAAGAUUUUGACAUUCUCUGUGACAAGAGAGUGUCACAAAAGCUAAAAGGCAUGCUCUACAAAACGACGGUUCGACCCGCAAUGUUGUAUAGCGCUGAGUGUUGGCUGACUAAAAGGCGACAUGUUCAACAGUUAGGUGUGGCGGAGAUGCUUAUGUUGAGAUGGAUGUGUGGCCACACGAGGAAGGACCGAGUCCGGAAUGAUGAUAUACGAGAUAGAGUUGGGGUAGCACCAAUUGAAGAGAAGCUUGUCCAACAUCGUCUGAGAUGGUUUGGGCAUAUUUAGCGCAGGCCUCUAGAAGCUCCAGUGCAUAGCAGGCGACUAAAGCGUGUGGAAAAUGUCAAGAGAGGGCGGGGUAGACCGAAUUUGACAUGGGAGGAGUCCCUUAAGAGAGACCUGAAGGAUUGAAGUAUCACCAAAGAGCUAGCUAUGGACAGGAGUGCGUGGAAGCUUGCUAUUCGUGUAUCAGAGCCAUGAGUUGGUUGCGAGAUCUUAUGUGUUUCACCUCUAGCCUACCCCAACUUGUUUGAGACUAAAGGCUUCGUUGUUGUUGUUGUUGUUGUGUGUGCCUGAAAAGAUCAAAGAAUCUGCCUCAUGAGGCUAGCCUGGAUGUAUUGUGUUUGGUAUGCAUUCAGGCGGCCAGGCGACCAGGCGUGGGUAGGUAUCAUCCAGCAAUAAAAUAAUCGAGCAAGGAGAGGCUCAAUUAGUACCUAGGCAUGAGCCAUACUACCUACUCGCUACGCCUGGUCUAUAAGGCCCUCCACUAUGUGCUUGAUGGCACAUUUCUCAAAAACGAGCCACGUACAGGCAGAUGUCAGUUGAACUUUUUUUAGCACCGACCACACUGUGUAGGAGAUUUGGUAUCAACGUCAGCUUGGACCCACACACAUAUAAACUAGUAAUAAAUGUGCCUAGAUUACCCAACAAUCAGGGUCUUGGGCUGUUGGUUCGUGUGAGAAAGGACAGUGGCGUACUUACUUUACUGGUUCAUCCAAUUUAGCACCGGAGCAAGUAGAAGCAUCAAUGCCCAGAGUUUUUUGCUUGGCACCGGGCUGAGCAAUGUAAGGCACCAGUUCCAAAUCUCAAAAAGCAAAUUUAGCAUCAAUUUUGACCUACAUAGUGGAGGGCGUAAUUGUGCCUGGUGCUUCAGCAGGCUAAUCACCGUACAUGCCAGGCUAGUGUGUCGUUAGAUACCAACCAAACAUGCACCGGGGCACCGGGCUAGUCCCAGGCAGGUCCCAGGCCAAGCAAAAUUUUGCCAGGUCACAAACCAAACUGCCCCCAAAACGCUCUCUCUAGCAGUUGCCCUCUUCCCCGGUCGCCGGACGACGCCUUCCCGCCGCCGCCGCCGCUGCAGCGUCACAGGUUCGUUCCCUUCCCCCGAUUUCUUUGUCAGAUCAAGCAACAGAGAGAUAGCGUUACCUCGGGGGGCGGGGCGGGUAAAUGGAUGCCGACGUGUUGUUGGACGCUGUCGACGGAGCUCGAUCCGCGGAGACCCGGCGCUGGACCGGGGCGGCGAGGUGCGGAGGGAACGGCGCCGCCAGGGGCAGGAUGGGAUCAGGGAGGGGGGGCGGGGGGCGAAACGCGGAGGGGGAGGAGCUCCGGCUCUGGGGUGCUGUGGCGGUGGCGUCUUCAGCAAGAGAG